rnacentral:tRNA from 1 species
GGGGAUGUAGUUAAUAAUAACAUUUAACUUGCAAUUAAAAGGAACUGAUCCCAGUCUUCCUCA